rnacentral:lncRNA from 1 species
AAGAGCCAUGGUAUAAAAAAAAGUACUCUGUCUUCCAAAUCUCAGGAGGACUUGUUCGCGGAUUGCUCUUUCUGUUUGUGGAGGUCCCGGCAGAGGUGAAUAGUCAUUGUUUUAUUUCCCAAACAUUAUGCAGCCUCUUUUUCGUUCUGCACAAUCAACUUUCAGAAGAUUUUAAAAGCCAGAACAUUUUUUUCUAACUGUUCUUCUUUUUCUCUUAAAAGAUUAGAUGUUUGUGGACGAAAAGGAAGCAAAAAAUAUGAGCAAAAAUUAUUAAUAAAAAGAGUAAAAUUAUUUUAAAACCUAAAACUAGAGAUAAAAAGUAAAUAAAAGAAAGUAAAAAUUCACUACAAGUAUUUAAAAGCAGACAUGAGCAGGUGGAACAACAAAAUAGCAAACCAAAGAAAGGGCAGUUGACAUUAUUAAGUUGUGAAAGGAAAGAAAAAAGAAGAAAGAAAUGAGAACACAGCCUGUGAUGCUGUGGGACACUAUCAAGCACCCAUACUUAUGCAUAUUGGAAGUUCAAAGGAUGAGACAAAGAAUCAGGAAGACUAUUUAGAAACAAUAGUGGUAAAGAAUGUCAAGAUCAAAAAACUCCUGUAAGAGAAAUUCAGAGAAACGAACUCAAAUUAUAUGAUAAUUAAACUCUCUAAAAGAAAGAGAAAAUCUUGAAGGCAGCAAGAGAUGUGACUAUUCAUAUUCAAAGAACCCUCAAAAAUAAUCACCAGAUUUCUAAUCUGAAAAUUCGGGAGACAGAAAACAAUAAACUAACAUAUUCCAAAUGAUGUUAAGAAAAAACUUUUGAACAGAAAUCAUAUGUUCAAAAAGUUGUCCAUCAUAAGUGAGGGAAAAAUUAUAAUAUUUUCAGAUAAAAGCAGGGACCUUUUACCAGUAGACUACCUCUUUUAAAAUGCCCUAUGGGGUGCUUCAUGGUAAAAUGAACAGACGUUAAACAGCAGUAUGAAUUAAUAUAUAUUACAGUAAAGAUAAAUACAUGAACAAUUAUAAAACAUUAAAAAAUUAACAAUGUGCACCUCCACAAUUUGUUUCCCAUAUAAUUUAAAACACUAAUAUGUUUUAGAAAAAUACUAUCACAAACUUGUGUUUUUGACAUACAAUGAAUAAAGGUCUGAUUUUGAGAACUCAAUAAGUGAAAUAAUGGGGGUGAAGUUACAGAGAAAUAAGGGAUUUGUAUGUUAUUGAAGGUAAACUAGCAUAACUUUAAAAGUGAAAUAACUUUAGUGUAUUCAAUGUAAUCAUAAUAUCAAUGACAAAAAAAAAAAAAAAAAAAGAAAAAA